CCUACAUUUCUAUAUCUAAUACAGUUAUAGUGCACAUAGUCGGAUUCAACAGAAGUACCUUUCCAGGAUAAUUGCCUGACAUCCGGGGCGCGACCUCACCUUCCGCUCUGUGUGUGUUGUGCCGUACUCAAACUCUGUUCGCUUCAGGAAACGACAACAAACUUCGAGUUAGCUAACUACACGAUGAAAAUGGCAAGUUUUAAAGAAAAUUUGGAUCGUGCAACAAGGCAGGCCUGCUUGGUUCUUUCGGGGAAUGAUUGUAAACAUUUACAAGGAAUAUGUUUACGGCAACGGAGGGUGUGGUGAUUAAUGAAUGUACGCUCAGCCAAUCACAUCACUGGCCUUACUGAACUAUACAUAGUGAUGCAUGACAGGAAGGAUCAUUGUAUCAGCGUAUAAUGAUUUCCUUUUCUUUAUUUUCAACAUUGGUACGUUAGCAUGUAGCUACUGUAGUUAGCAUUGGACACUAAUAGAAUAUAGCAGCACUUUCUACAGUCAAACAUCGCAGAUAAAGGCUUUUAAACCAAAUACGACAUAACCGGACAUGUUUCAGGAGUAAUUUGACCCGGAAUUGGACAGAAUUUAACAACAUUGGCAGCCAAGAUGACAUACUUUACUGCCGUUAGCAUGUAGCAACAUGCAACAUUGUUAACACCGCAGUAGCUUAA